ACCAAGGCGACGAUCCCUAGCUGGUCUGAGAGGAUGAUCAGCCACACUGGAACUGAGACACGGUCCAGACUCCUACGGGAGGCAGCAGUGGGGAAUAUUGCACAAUGGGCGCAAGCCUGAUGCAGCCAUGCCGCGUGUGUGAAGAAGGCCUUCGGGUUGUAAAGCACUUUCAGUCGUGAGGAAGGUGGUAUUGUUAAUAGCUGAUCUANUUGACGUUAGCGACAGAAGAAGCACCGGCUAACUCCGUGCCAGCAGCCGCGGUAAUACGGAGGGUGCGAGCGUUAAUCGGAAUUACUGGGCGUAAAGCGCAUGCAGGUGGUUUGUUAAGUCAGAUGUGAAAGCCCGGGGCUCAACCUCGGAAUAGCAUUUGAAACUGGCAGACUAGAGUACUGUAGAGGGGGGUAGAAUUUCAGGUGU
rnacentral:rRNA from 1 species